UACGUAGGGUCCGAGCGUUGUCCGGAAUUAUUGGGCGUAAAGGGCUCGUAGGCGGUUCGUCACGUCGGGAGUGAAAACUCGGGGCUUAACCCCGAGCCUGCUUCCGAUACGGGCAGACUAGAGGUAGGUAGGGGAGAAUGGAAUUCCUGGUGUAGCGGUGAAAUGCGCAGAUAUCAGGAGGAACACCGGUGGCGAAGGCGGUUCUCUGGGCCUUACCUGACACUGAGGAGCGAAAGCGUGGGGAGCGAACAGG
rnacentral:rRNA from 1 species